rnacentral:lncRNA from 1 species
GUACAAUUAAGUCAGGCCUAACUCACUCUCUAUCCUGAAUAGCUUUUUUUUUUUCCCCUGGAUUCCUGAUUGCUUUGCUUAUUUUCAGAUUUAGUGACUCAAUUCAACUUUUAAAGUCCCAGUUAAAGUUUAGUGCUGGGGCACAGAUAAAAUUCUGAAAAAAGCUACUCUACUAAUAACAGCCGCCAGAAUUCUACCGCCACGUGGGUGGUCUCUGCCAGCUUCCCGAGUUGUGCCCCCCGAGUGGAUGGACAAAAUAAUACAGAGACAUUAUAAAAGGAACAUGGAUGAAGAGCUGCUUGAAGGAGUAUGGGCAGCUAAGAUCUCCUCAUCUUCAUGAUUAUUAUCUUCUCACUUCUUUGGAGCAGGAAGAUCAUGAGAAACCUUCUCUACAGUUUCAUACUAUGCCUGAUGUGUACCACUCUCCUCCCCCAGUGGAAAGGAGGAUGGACAAGACAAUGAACAUGUAUUGUUAUCUCCCCAGGAAUGUAACUUCUCAGCCACUGCUCCAGAACUAUGCCUGCCUGCCUGCCUGCCUUCUGCCUGCUUCCAUGUUCCCCACCAUGAUGGGCAUGGACUCUAAUCCUCAAAGAUGCCAUGCUUAUCAUCAAGAGGAUAAUGGACUGAAACUUUAAGCCAG